rnacentral:sRNA from 1 species
UAGAGUUGGUGACAAUGUUAAUGUA